ACGAACUGUGCGAACGUUAUUCGGAAUCACUGGGCUUAAAGGGUGCGUAGGCGGAUUGGCAGGUCAGAUGUGAAAUCCCACGGCUCAACCGUGGAACUGCGUUUGAAACCUCCAGUCUUGAGGGGAUCAGAGGAGAGCGGAACUGAUGGUGGAGCGGUGAAAUGCGUUGAUAUCAUCAGGAACACCGGUGGCGAAAGCGGCUCUCUGGGAUCCUUCUGACGCUGAGGCACGAAAGCUAGGGGAGCGAACGGG
rnacentral:rRNA from 1 species